UCGCGGCUUAUCACCGGCAGUCUCCUUAGAGUGCUCAACUAAAUGGUAGCAACUAAGGACGGGGGUUGCGCUCGUUGCGGGACUUAACCCAACAUCUCACGACACGAGCUGACGACAGCCAUGCAGCACCUGUCUCCGGUCCAGCCGAACUGAAGAGGUUCAUCUCUGAUCCUCGCGACCGGGAUGUCAAGGGUUGGUAAGGUUCUGCGCGUUGCUUCGAAUUAAACCACAUACUCCACCGCUUGUGCAGGCCCCCGUCAAUUUCUUUGAGUUUUAAUCUUGCGACCGUACUUCCCAGGCGGCACAUUUAACGCGUUAGCUGCGUUACUAAGGGAUUUAACCCCCCCAACAACUAGUCGUCAUCGUUUAGGGCGUGGACUAC
rnacentral:misc_RNA from 1 species